GCCACUGUGGAUGAGUGGUUAGAAUGUCAGACUGGGACCCAGAAGACCAGGGUUCAAAUCCCCACUGUGGCC